GCUUCCGUAGCUCAGUUGGUUAGAGCGUCGUACUAAUACUUCAUACCGAGUGUCCAGUAACAUGCGAAGGUCUCAGGUUCAAGCCCUGGCGGGAGCA